CUUUGAUUGGUUAUGUACAAUCAAAUUGUUCAUUUAAUAAGAUGAAAAAUAUAACUUAAAUUUCUGGAUACAUUAUGCCAUUUUGUGCCAUCUUUUCUGAGGCUUAUAAUAAAAUAACAGAAGGCUUUAAAAAAAAAAAAAUUUUCUGAACUGUUUGGUAAACUUCUCUUUUUAAUACUGCACACUGUUAAGCAGUUUUUAUUCUGUUGUGCACUUUCAUUUCAACUUC
rnacentral:lncRNA from 1 species